rnacentral:misc_RNA from 1 species
GCCUCAGGAGGGAUACAGGCCUCCACUGAAGCUAACUGCGCUCUUAGCAAUCUAACACGAAGAGGAGGUAAUGAGUCCAUGAUACACAGAGGCCAAAAUAGAUCCUCCAAUUUCUCUUUGCAUAGAGCUACAUGCUCCAAAAAGUAUGAACUCUUUGUCGGACUGAAUGUCCUAUGACAAGAAGGGCAGUGUUUAUCUUCCAAGAAGUAUGUGUCAUGGCAAUUAUUACAAGUACUGAUCAAAUUUUCACAUCUCAUCCUUCCAUACUUCCUUGCACAUAGAAACUGGGGAUGAACACAUUCU